rnacentral:rRNA from 1 species
AUUGAACGCUGGCGGCAGGCUUAACACAUGCAAGUCGAGCGGAGAUGAGGUGCUUGCACCUUAUCUUAGCGGCGGACGGGUGAGUAAUGCUUAGGAAUCUGCCUAUUAGUGGGGGACAACAUUCCGAAAGGAAUGCUAAUACCGCAUACGUCCUACGGGAGAAAGAAGGGGAUCUUCGGACCUCGCGCUAAUAGAUGAGCCUAAGUCGGAUUAGCUAGUUGGUGUGGUAAAGGCCUACCAAGGCGACGAUCUGUAGCGGGUCUGAGAGGAUGAUCCGCCACACUGGGACUGAGACACGGCCCAGACUCCUACGGGAGGCAGCAGUGGGGAAUAUUGGACAAUGGGGGGAACCCUGAUCCAGCCAUGCCGCGUGUGUGAAGAAGGCCUUAUGGUUGUAAAGCACUUUAAGCGAGGAGGAGGCUACUGAGACUAAUACUCUUGGAUAGUGGACGUUACUCGCAGAAUAAGCACCGGCUAACUCUGUGCCAGCAGCCGCAGUAACAC